rnacentral:rRNA from 1 species
AGAUUGGACGCUGGCGGCAGGCCUAACACAUGCAAGUCGAGCGGUAGAGAGGUGCUUGCAUCUCUUGAGAGCGGCGGACGGGUGAGUAAUGCCUAGGAAUCUGCCUAGUGGUGGGGGAUAACGUUCGGAAACGGACGCUAAUACCGCAUACGUCCUACGGGAGAAAGCGGGGGACCUUCGGGCCUCGCGCCAUUAGAUGAGCCUAGGUCGGAUUAGCUAGUUGGUGAGGUAAAGCUCACCAAGGCGACGAUCCUUAGCUGGUCUGAGAGGAUGAUCAGCCACACUGGGACUGAGACACGGCCCAGACCUCCGUACGGGAGCAGCAGUAGGGAAUAGUUGGACAAGUGGGCACAAGCCUAGACUCCAGCAAUCGCCGCGUGAGUGAGUGAAGGUCCGUUAGGUUAGUAAAGUCCUUACGUUUUACCCGAGUAGUGAAUAAGUGAACG